ACCAGCCAAUGGAGAAGUCAGCUGGUUGAUCCUCCAGAACUGGUUUUAGAACGUAAGAGACAUCUCCUGUUUCAACAGCCAAUAGAGAAAUCAGCUGGUCAAGUCACCGGAGGCUGGUUUUAGAACAU